CAACAUACCAAUUUGAAAAAUCGAUGAGGAUGCCAAAGAAGAAAUUUACUCCGAGAGCCACUUGGAUUGACCUUCAUUGAGAGUAAAACUUCCCCACACUAUAUUUCAUUAGAUCUGUAAAAACUUUAUCCAUUUUCUGACUAUCUGAUAAAAUAGAUACAAUUUCCCUGAAUAAUGGAUCGUCACAAAAGAUUUUUUUUUAAGGCCACUUCAUUAAAAUAGGUGUUUCCAGUACUUCCUCAUUUGGGUAUUUUACACAAAAUCUGGAUUUUUUUUUAUGUACAUGUCAUUUUUAUCAUCUGUCCCGCGCAACCAAACCAUCCACUUUUCCCGGUCACCAAUGUUCUUAACAAGAUAUCAAGAGAGAGAGGCUGGUCCAUUAUUUGCGUAGUCCAGCCAGCUUUUUUUUUUUACAACCUUUUUUCGUUCUCUCUCUUGAAGGAUAUGUUUUGAAAAUUAGUCUUACAAAAUACAAUUCCAAACCAACUCAUGCAGUUAUCGUCUUUUCACAGUAUUGAGGAGUCAUCCUUUUUGCUAGCCAGAGUGUUAAUUGGCAAAAGUGAAAAAUUCAUUUUCUUUAAUUUUUUAAAUUAUUAACAAGUAGAACCAUGGCAACCAGUUCUGAUGAUGUACCAGAAUGGCUCAAGGAUCAUACUUAUACUAUUUCUACUCUCUGGGCAUCCAUUCAAUAUUUAAUUUAUGUUUGGAAAUGCAAGAAAAAGGCAUGCAUUCCUGAAAAGUCAAUGAUUGGUUGCACCUCUUAAAGAUAACUUUCUGUUAUGAGAAAACAUGAGAUUCUUGGACUCCUGCAUAGCACCACCAGAAAGGAAAAUCCCAUCAUGUUGCAAAAUAAAAGUCUUGGACCAAUUUUAAUUUAAGAUAUAUAUAUUAUACUGUAAGCUGUAUACAUAUUUAUGUAUAUCCUGUCAUUCAGCCAACAGGUUUGGAUUUAGUAUUUCUUUAAAUCUGUUUGAUAUUGUACUUGAAAACUAUUAAUCUGAGCCCCAUUAAAACAAGAGGGAGUGCAGUGGAUGAGUGGUAAGGGAAAUUUUACUUUUUUAAAAUUAAAAUAAGAAUCUAACAAAAGUAAACAUAUAAAAUAUGGUGCAUUCUCCUUAAAACUAAAACCUGGUGCAAAGGUUUAAAAUGUUGGCAAAAAAAAAAAGCAACAUCAAUUAAAUAUUCUUAAUUUCCUUUGCAAAACUUACUGAGAAGAACAUGCAUGUUGUUCCCUCAUAAGUUUCUUGACAGAGGAAAUCUUGUUUAUAUUAGAUUUGAAUUAAGCAAAUUAAGAAAAAAAUUAUAAUCAUUAUUUCAAAUGGUUGUAUCUAAACCUUAUGAAUUAUUUUUCAGUUAUAAGUAUAUUGAAAUGAAUGGAUAAUCAUGAAAUUGUUAAAUAAUUGCUGCUAUCAUUCCAUUGACUAAAGAACCAUAAUUUUUUUUUUUAAUUAAUUAUUU